rnacentral:sRNA from 1 species
CCUGCCUUUUAAGGAGGCCACGGGUUCCCAUGCAUUUCCCUGAACCUGCAGCCAGCUCCCCUCCAAGUUCACUGCCGUAGGAUUCCAGGUUUCAAGAAUUGUAGUGUGUUCCCUUCAAAGAGUGUGUAUAGUGAAUGGGUCACUGCUCAGGGUUCCAGCUACACAGGAGUGGGUUGUGGGGCCAAGGAAUGGAGAGGAACAGUGUCCGAAAGUCAGGAUGGUGUCUUGUGUCAUCUGCCCAGGGUCCACAGAGACCUUUAAUGACUCAAGAAUACAAACAAACCAAUACACUUAAAUGAAUCUUCUAUGUAGGAUUUGUUUCUUGACUAAAGAUUGGUCUCUCAUCAACUUCUAUUAUUUAACAAUGGGCUUUGAUUAUGUGAUUUAGAAAAUGACCAACUUUAAAAAAUAUUGUUCUAUGUAACACAAAAUAAGUCAGUUUAUGCUUUAUGUUAAUAUAUGUCAAUAUAUAAUUUUAAAAGGAAAGUAUUAACUGUGGUGUUUCGUGUCAUUUUUGGAAAAAAUGAGUUUUUCAAAAAACUUCAAAUGCUACUUUGCAUCUAAGCAUGUGUUUGUGUGUUAUAAAAGGUAGGCUAGCAUAACUAGGUCGUCUGUUGUGUAUAGCUACAGCAAGACAACUAUUACUGCUGUUUCAUAUUUUAAACCUUGAUGCUGGUAACGUGUGUUUCUUCCUUAUUGUGAAAGGGUGUUACAAGUGGUAUCAGCAAAACCAUUUGCUUUUGAACUCUGAGGUAUUUAUAUGGCCCCUAUGUGAAGAGUGCUUUGGAAAUGGUUUAAGCCCAGUCAACUCUCUUUUAUCUGUCAGUGGGUUCUGAGCCUUCCUGCUGCAGCUGUCCGGUCCUUUCCUGGAUGCUGACACUGAAGUUGGAGAAAGUCAAGGCUGGGCAUGUACUGGUGGGGGUGUGUGUAUGUGUGUGUGUUUUUCUCUCUCUCAUCAAAUUCCAAAGCCAAAUAGAAAUGAUUUCUGGAAUCAUCAUUGUAAAAUUGCCCAUGCCUUUUCUCUUCUCCAAAACAAAUAAUAGAGAGUUAAGUGUAAUUUAUUUCUAUUUUGAGCAGUUCAUUUUUACUCCAUUUUUACAAAUAAAGAAUUCUAGAGACGAGACACUGAGACUUGCCUAGCUUUAUCCUAAGAGUGAGUGACAGGUUACUCUUUCUACCUCAUUGGGCCACUUUCUGAGUGAUGACUGCUAUGUAUCCCAGGUGGCAAUAUUCACGUUUCUGAAUCUAAGCACUUUUCUUUCUUCUCUCCUUGCCCGAUCAGCUGGACGGCCAACCGCCAUGUGAUGUAAGCCUCCAUACGAAAGCACUGUUGCAGAUAGAAGAAGAGGUGGUUGCUGCUCGUGUAGAUCUAUAAAUAUGUGUUGUAUGUCUUUUUUGCUUUUUUUUUUUAAAAAAAAAGAAUAACUUUUUUGCCUCUUUAGAUUACAUAGAAGCAUUGUAGUCUUGGUAGAACCAGUAUUUUUGUUGUUUAUUUAUAAGGUAAUUGUGUGUGGGGAAAAGUGCAGUAUUUACCUGUUGAAUUCAGCAUCUUGAGAGCACAAGGGAAAAAAUAAGAACUUAAGAAUAUUUUUGAGGCAGAUAAUGAUCUAGUUUGACUUUCUAGUUAGCGGUGUUUUGAAGAGGGUAUUUUAUUGUUUUUUAAAAAAAGGUUCUUAAACAUUAUUUGAAAUAGUUAAUAUAAAUACAUAAUUGCAUUUGCUCUGUUUAUUGUAAUGUAUUCUAAAUUAAUACAGAACCAUAUGGAAAAUUUCAUAAAAAUCUAUCCCCAAAUGUGCUUUCUGUAUCCUUCCUUCUACCUAUGUAUUCUGAUUUUUAAAAAUGCAGUUAAUGUACCAUUUAUUUGCUUGAUGAAGGGAGCUCUAUUUUCUUUACCAGAAAUGUUGCUAAGUAAUUCCCAAUAGAAAGCUGCUUAUUUUCAUUAAUGAAAAAUAACCAUGGUUUGUAUACUAGAAGUCUUCUUCAGAAACUGGUGAGCCUUUCUGUUCAAUUGCAUUUGUAAAUAAACUUGCUGAUGCAUUU